AACGAACGCUGGCGGCAUGCCUAACACAUGCAAGUCGAACGAGACCUUCGGGUCUAGUGGCGCACGGGUGCGUAACGCGUGGGAACCUGCCCUUAGGUUCGGAAUAACUCCCCGAAAGGGGUGCUAAUACCGGAUAAUGUCUUCGGACCAAAGAUUUAUCGCCUUUGGAUGGGCCCGCGUUGGAUUAGCUAGUUGGCAGGGUAAAAGCCUACCAAGGCGACGAUCCAUAGCUGGUCUGAGAGGAUGAUCAGCCACACUGGGACUGAGACACGGCCCAGACUCCUACGGGAAGCAGCAGUGGGGAAUAUUGGACAAUGGGCGAAAGCCUGAUCCAGCAAUGCCGCGUGAGUGAUGAAGGCCUUAGGGUUGUAAAGCUCUUUUACCCGGGAUGAUAAUGACAGUACCGGGAGAAUAAGCUCCGGCUAACUCCGUG
rnacentral:rRNA from 1 species